UACUAAUAUUUGUGGGAUUUUCUCUUCUAAUCUCAACAAUUGCAGUUCCUUCUUCAAGAAGUAUUAAGACAAAUACAGAAAAUCAAGUUUCUCAUGACAAGGUGGUAUUGAUGGAUGAGUUGGAGAAGAAGAGGGAAUUGUUGGUGGAAAGAGAUGAUUAUGCAGGAACAGGUGCAAAUAAUCAUCAUGACCCAAAGCCUCCUGGCUCUCAAUGGUCAA
rnacentral:misc_RNA from 1 species